UGAGUAAUGUCUGGGAAACUGCCUGAUGGAGGGGGAUAACUACUGGAAACGGUAGCUAAUACCGCACAACGUCGCACGACCAAAGAGGGGGACCUUCCGGCCUCUCGCCAUCAGAUGUGCCCAGAUGGGAUUAGCUAGUAGGUGGGGUAAUGGCUCACCUACGCGACGAUCCCUAGCUGGUCUGAGAGGAUGACCAGCCACACUGGAACUGAGACACGGUCCAGACUCCUACGGGAGGCAGCAGUGGGGAAUAUUGCACAAUGGGCGCAAGCCUGAUGCAGCCAUGCCGCGUGUAUGAAGAAGGCCUUCGGGUUGUAAAGUACUUUCAGCGAGGAGGAAGGCAUUGUGGUUAAUAACCACAGUGAUUGACGUUACUCGCAGAAGAAGCACCGGCUAACUCCGUGCCAGCAGCCGC
rnacentral:rRNA from 1 species